UACGGAGGGGGCUAGCGUUGUUCGGAAUUACUGGGCGUAAAGCGCGCGUAGGCGGCUUUGUAAGUUAGAGGUGAAAGCCCGGAGCUUAACUCCGGAACUGCCUUUAAGACUGCAUCGCUAGAAUUGUGGAGAGGUGAGUGGAAUUCCGAGUGUAGAGGUGAAAUUCGAUAGAUAUUCGGAAGAACACCAGUGGCGAAGGCGACUCACUGGACAUGUAUUGACGCUGAGGUGCGAAAGCGUGGGGAGCAAACAGG
rnacentral:rRNA from 1 species